rnacentral:rRNA from 1 species
GUGCCAGCAGCCGCGGUAAGACAGAGGGUGCAAACGUUGCUCGGAAUCACUGGGCGUAAAGGGCGUGUAGGCGGAUAGAUAAGUCGGGCGUGAAAGCCCCAGGCUCAACCUGGGAACUGCACUCGAAACUGUUUAUCUUGAGUGCCGGAGAGGAAAGCGGAAUUCCUGGUGUAGAGGUGAAAUUCGUAGAUAUCAGGAGGAACACCAGUGGCGAAGGCGGCUUUCUGGACGGUAACUGACGCUGAGACGCGAAAGCGUGGGGAGCAAACAGGAUUAGAUACCCGGGUAGUCC